rnacentral:lncRNA from 1 species
CCCAUAACUCUCUCCUCAUGCAUCCGAUUGCUUCGCCGUUUUUUUCAAUGAAAGCUAUGAAUCUCCUCUUCGUCCUCCUUCCAAGAAACCUACACAACACCACAGUAAAACAUAUCUAAAACAUCAAAAGCUUGAGGCCAUUUCAUCGUUUAAGUCAAAAACGAAGGCUUCCAAGUGGAUAUGAAAUCCACUUAUCACACCCCCAAACUUAAACCGAUGCUUGUCCUCAAGCAUAGACACACACACAAAUACUACUAAUGAAAUGCAUGAAUGCAACUAAAGGCCUACAUCUAAUCGAAUCAUGAAGUCUAAUCCUUGUUAACAUAUAACCUUCAGAAUAUGCAACAUUCUCGGCAUUCAUCUCUUUCACAUGUUAGCCAUGUUCUCUUCCACUAAAAGUGGGAAGUGCAUCGUGUGUGCUAGCAUGCUCUCUAGUGAAACAAAACAAAGACCAUCAAACUUCAACAGAGUCCUCACUAUGAGCCGUUAAUCAGAAUCAGGUUUAAACACUUCUUUACUAAAGAGUCAACUACAAUUUAGGGUCACUAAAGAAUUCCUAUGCCUCUCCUAUUUUUUUUCUUUUUUUUUUUUCUUUUUCUUGCUAAGUCUAAGGUUGGGACGCUUCUCAGUGUAAGUGAGUCACGACCGCCAUUCGACUUCGCUUUUUCUAUUUUUUUCUUUUUUUUUUUUUUUUAAUCAAGUAAUUCUCCAGUAAUCAAAGGUUGUGAAAGGUCACCAAGAAAUUGCUUAUUCUAAUACAUUUGCACUUAAUACCAGCACAAGUACAUGGAUCGUCCCUUUCACAUGACAUUGCAUUCUACCCAU